rnacentral:rRNA from 1 species
ACUCCUACGGGAGGCAGCAGUGGGGAAUAUUGCACAAUGGGGAAACCCUGAUGCAGCCAUGCCGCGUGUGUGAAGAAGGCCUUCGGUUGUAAAGCACUUCAGUAGGGAGGAAGGUAGUGUAGUUAACACCUGCACUAUUUGACGUUACCUACAGAAGAAGCACCGGCUAACUCCGUGCCAGCAGCCGCGGUAAUACGGAGGGGUGCGAGCGUUAAUCGGAAUUACUGGGCGUAAAGCGCAUGCAGGCGGCCUGUUAAGUCAGAUGUGAAAGCCCGGGGGCUUAACCUCGGAAUUGCAUUUGAAACUGGCAGGCUAGAGUCUGUAGAGGGGGUAGAAUUUCAGGUGUAGCGGUGAAAUGCGUAGAGAUCUGAAGGAAUACCAGUGGCGAAGGCGGCCCCCUGGACAAAGACUGACGCUCAGAUGCGAAAGCGUGGGGAGCAAACAGGAUUAGAUACCCUGGUA